GAAAAAGAGGGAAUUCUGGGAAAUAUCACAUGCAGCUGGGCCUUCGCCAAAACAGUUAACGCUGCUUACAGUCAUCCGCUGCUCACCUUUGCUGUUCCUCGGUGGCGGCAAGACGGAGUAGAAAUGAGGCGAUUCGUUGAGCAGAGAGUGACCCGACGAGACAUCGGGGAUGACUCGCAAGCCGGAGCCGGGAGGUCAGACGGGUGCGUGACGAGGCAGCAGGAGAUCUGACAAUGCAACGACGAC